rnacentral:lncRNA from 1 species
AAAAGCUGUUUGACUCCAAACUCCGUGAAACAUGGAGCCCAGGCAGCACACUGAUUGGGGAAUUCUCUGGCCAACUGUGACGAAGUAAGAUGUUGAGCAGAGGCAUUCUUCCAGAGUUUCCCGCAGAACCCACAUGGCUUUGGCCCUUGGAGAGCUCCAGGCCAUCAGAGAUGGUGCAGGAAUGGGGUAGGAGACAGAGGAAGCCCUGCAGGAAGCCAGCAAAAACCUCACCUACCUUGAGAACUCAGCAAUGCCGGAAGAGAUUGAGAUUCCUAGAGAAUGGAGGAGCCGGGAACAAAGGAGAAGGAUGGGAUCCAGGAACAGGCCAAGAGAACCAGCUCGAUGCUUCUUCCUCUCCCUUCUAGAAAAUUCUGUUCAGAAGCCAUUAGGUAAGGUAGAGCAAGGCAGGCCUCUGUAGCUGAGUGGGGAGGAAGUAGCGUGCCCAGAGCAGGAGGGUGGAGUCCACCGGGGUGAGAUAGAGGCUCACACAAGGGCGGUGGUCCAGUGUGAGGUUGCCCAUGUGGAGCGAGGAGGGUGCCAACAUAGGAGGGGGCAGCCCAGCAUGUGUCGGAGACCAAAGCAGGGUCCGAAGGGGGUCCUGUCCAGGGAGGAUGUCCUGGCACGGAGACUCAGACCCUCAGUGGGGUGAGGAGGGGUCUACACAGAAGGUGGCCCAGGGCAGGAUGGCAGAACUAGAGGGGUGAGGAGAGUGUCUAUUGCAAGGGCACCUUGCGCUUGGAGUCAGUGCCCUGGGGAAGUGGGAAGGGCAUCCACAUGGAGGGUGGCCCAGGGCAGGAUGCUGCUGUCCAGGCAAUGGAAGGAAGGUGUCCUCAGGAAGGGUGGUACCGCAUGAGUGUCCUACCUGAGCAGAGAGAGGAAGGUGUUUCAGUGACCGGCAGGGUGGCUGAGAAUCCCACUCUGCUUUGUGUCCUGAGCCUCACAGAGCACAAGGCAUUUAGUAGCUGCCCAGGUAAUGGUAAUUGUUAAAUGGAUGAUGAAAUAAAUGAGAAAAAUCUGGAUUCAACUCUCAUCUUGACCAUAUAUUAGCUAUGGAACUUUGGAUAUGAUCUUCAUCUCCAUCAGUGGGAUACUGUGUAUGAAACUACUCAGAAAAGCUAAAGGAGCUGAUUUUACUCCACCUAACAGGAAAGAAGGCUCUGCCAUUCUUUGCUGUGCAAGCGUUCCUCAUAUCAAAGAAUGGCAGAGCCCUCUUUCCCUUUGGGUGGAGUAAAAUCAGCCUAGCCUUCCCUUAGCGGGUACCAUGCUGCCCAGCCUCAGGUGCGUCCUUUGUGAGAUCCAGAUAUCAAACGGCCUCUUGCACAUAAUGACUUGGCUAUCUCUCAGGUCCUCCCUGUCCACAGGGUGGGUUCUCAACUUAUCAACUCCCUCCUCUGACACCACUCCUCCCCUGAAAGGGUCCUCCCACUCCCCUCAGAGAACAGCAGCACUCACAGCAGUCAGCCCCUAAAUCCAGCUGAUCUUUGUCUCCAUUGCCAAUAUCACUGUUCCAGGCACCAUCCUCUCUCGCUGGUAUUACUGCAAACUGCCACCCAGCUGGUCUCUCCACCUCCAGCCUUGCCACGCUGCCCCCUUGCCCCGUCCAUGUCAGACUCUACCACGCUGACCUUUGGAAAAUGUAACUCUGUAUGCAUCACUUCCCUACUGAAAACUCUGAUAGGUCACUAUGCCCUUUAAGAUAAAGUCUGAAAUCCUCAGCAGGGUUGAUAAGCAGCUCUAUGUGGGACUCGCUUUUCCAGGUUAGCAAGGGACUUCCCUGAUUUUAGCACUGAAGUCCUGAAUUCUCCUUAGUCCUUGGCAAACUGGAUGGCUCACCACUCCCCUCUUCUCCUCAUUCCUCUGCCUCACCCCUACCCCACACUCACCCUCUGUCUGUCCCCUCAGCAGUCUUCCUCCUGCUACUGUGAAUGGUCUCUGCCCCAGCCCCUUUGCUUUGUAACUUUGAGAUCCCCCUCCUAGUCUCAGUGGGCAGAUGGCUUCCUCCAUGCUGUCUCCUGGACACCCCGGGUCAGGUGACUCGCCCCUGCUGGGUGGCACUCUUAGUUCCCCUUGUGGCACUUAAAUGCGUUAUUUCAAUCACUGGGUUACCGGAGGUCUCCUUCCAUGACUGUAGAUGCUGCAGGCAGAAGCUGAGUCGUGUUUGCCCCCGUCAUCACCUGUUGUCUGGCACAAUUGCCUGCUGCGGAUUUCAGUGGUGAUUUUUAGGUGAAUCGUGAUGCACCCAG